CUCCUACUGUUCAUUUCGUUUCACUAUUUAGUAAAUAUCUGUAAUGAGAAUAAACAGUCAAGGAUUUUCUUUCAUAAGACGUUCGUUGAUUCAUAACUGAAGAAUGAAGGGAGGGUACUUAGAAACUAAUGAACUGCCGUCAAACAUAUUUAAUUAUAAAAUCGCCAAUUGCAUUGUAGUAGUUUAGUGCAACAAUACCAUACACAAAGCUCUCACGAGAGUUUACAUUAUAUUACGACUACCAUUACCAACUAAAUCUGUCUCAUUUUCAUAAUAACAAGUAAAUCCAACUAUUAUAACAUUGGCUAAAAUAUUGCUUAAUGUUUUUUAAAGAUAGUCAAGUAACAGGAAGUAGAUAAACACGUUUACUAAAAGAUUGGUAUAAAGUUGAAUGCUGUAAAGGCUUUCGGAGUAAAUACCAUCAAUUUCACUAACACUAGCAGGUAGAAUCCCUCUGUUAACUCGUAAAAAUCGUGCAUACUAAUUCAAAUAUUUAGCUGUAAAUAUCCUUCAUGGACAUGUAAUGAUAUUAGGAGCUAAUGAAUUUGCUAAUGCUUGUUGUCCGACGUAUAUAGCUAACUCAUACGCUCUAUCAGAUGGGUUCCGUAU